UUUAUUUUCCUUUUUCCUUUUAUUUUGCUUUCAGCCGAAAUAGGCUUAUUGGGAUGGCCUCACCAGCCCACUAACGGCUGGUGCCCCACCCAUGGGCCUAUUAGGUCCUCUCCCGGGUGGGUGGUCCCUCCCGGUAAAACCCCGAAACCCAUUCGUCACUCCCAGCACUAUACCGGUAUUGCCCGAAAUCUUCAUGGAAG
rnacentral:lncRNA from 1 species